UACGGAGGGUGCGAGCGUUAAUCGGAAUUACUGGGCGUAAAGGGUGCGUAGGUGGUUGAUUAAGUUAUCUGUGAAAUUCCUGGGCUUAACCUGGGCGUGAGAGAUGAUACUGAUUGACUUGAGUAUGGGAGAGGGUAGUGGAAUUUCCGGUGUAGCGGUGAAAUGCGUAGAGAUCGGAAGGAACACCGGUGGCGAAGGCGGCUACCUGGCCUAAUACUGACACUGAGGCACGAAAGCGUGGGGAGCAAACAGG
rnacentral:rRNA from 1 species